rnacentral:rRNA from 1 species
GACGAAGGUGGCAAGCGUUACUCGGAAUUACUAGGUGUAAAGCGUGGGCAGGUGGUUCGGUAAGUCUGCUGUGAAAGCUCCUGGCUUAACUGGGAGAGGCCAGUGGAUACUGCCGGGCUUGAAUAUGGGAGAGGUGACUGGAAUUCCUGGUGUAGCGGUGAAAUGCGUAGAGAUCAGGAGGAACAUCGAUGGCGAAAGCAGGUCACUGGACCAUUAUUGACACUCAUCCACGAAAGCUGGGGGAUCAAAC